rnacentral:misc_RNA from 1 species
CUUUNUUCAGCUUAAAAAUAUCAAGGGCUCGCAAGGAACGCCUGCUACAAGUGGAUGGUUUCGCACAACCGCCGCUGACAUAGCCUGCGAUUCACACAGGAANCCCAANGACUUUCAAAAACCAAUUUAAAGAUGGCUGCUCGANAAAAGUCAUAAAGCAAGAUCCAAAGAUGAUGGAAAAAGCGCGAAAAAAAGUUUGAACCCUCGAGGUACUUGGAUGGUGCCAGUUAUUGUCAUUUCAUAGCUGUAAUGUUGUCAAUAUUGGUGCAGANUCACCUCUGUCUUUUUAUGUCGUACAGUAANCGUGACGAGCCUGAAAGUCUUUUAACUUGUCUUAUGGCAGUAAAAGCGUUGAGCUCAAGAACACUUGAGAGGAGACAAGACUGGAAUGUG